CACCUAACCCCGAAAGUUUUUCUUUUGGAUAUGGUGUGGAAACCCUUGGAAGACACUGAACCCCGCGUUCAGCGACUCUUCCAAGGGUCAUAUCGGGAAACUGAUAUGGGACCGCAAGGUCU
rnacentral:sRNA from 12 species